CGUAACUAUAACGGUCCUAAGGUAGCGAAAUUCCUUGUCGGGUAAGUUCCGACCUGCACGAAUGGCGUAAUGAUGGCCAGGCUGUCUCCACCCGAGACUCAGUGAAAUUGAACUCGCUGUGAAGAUGCAGUGUACCCGCGGCAAGACGGAAAGACCCCGUGAACCUUUACUAUAGCUUGACACUGAACAUUGAGCCUUGAUGUGUAGGAUAGGUGGGAGGCUUUGAAGUGUGGACGCCAGUCUGCAUGGAGCCGACCUUGAAAUACCACCCUUUAAUGUUUGAUGUUCUAACGUUGACCCGUAAUCCGGGUUGCGGACAGUGUCUGGUGGGUAGUUUGACUGGGGCGGUCUCCUCCUAAAGAGUAACGGAGGAGCACGAAGGUUGGCUAAUCCUGGUCGGACAUCAGGAGGUUAGUGCAAUGGCAUAAGCCAGCUUGACUGCGAGCGUGACGGCGCGAGCAGGUGCGAAAGCAGGUCAUAGUGAUCCGGUGGUUCUGAAUGGAAGGGCCAUCGCUCAACGGAUAAAAGGUACUCCGGGGAUAACAGGCUGAUACCGCCCAAGAGUUCAUAUCGACGGCGGUGUUUGGCACCUCGAUGUCGGCUCAUCACAUCCUGGGGCUGAAGUAGGUCCCAAGGGUAUGGCUGUUCGCCAUUUAAAGUGGUACGCGAGCUGGGUUUAGAACGUCGUGAGACAGUUCGGUCCCUAUCUGCCGUGGGCGCUGGAGAACUGAGGGGGGCUGCUCCUAGUACGAGAGGACCGGAGUGGACGCAUCACUGGUGUUCGGGUUGUCAUGCCAAUGGCACUGCCCGGUAGCUAAAUGCGGAAGAGAUAAGUGCUGAAAGCAUCUAAGCACGAAACUUGCC
rnacentral:rRNA from 1 species